rnacentral:rRNA from 1 species
GAGAGUUAAACAGUACGUGAAAUUGUUGAAAGGGAAACGAUUGAAGUCAGUCAUACCAACGGGAAAUCAACCUCUUGAGUUUGGUCUCGUGGGUUUCGAAGAGUUUAAAAGCCUUCGGAUUUUCGAGAUUGGGCUCUUCUGGUGUACUUUCUCGUACGGUUAGUCAACAUCGGUUUUGAAUGUCAUAAAAUGACUGGAGGAAUGUGGCUUCGAUCUCGUAUUGAAGUGUUAUAACCUUUGGUAGAUGUGAUGUUUGAGACCGAGGAUUGCAACGGAUACCCUUCUGGGCUAUUCGUCUGAUCUCUGAAACGUUGCCUUGAUGUCGAAAGCUUGCUUAUGAUGUUAGGGUAUUACGGUCAAAAGGUUAGAACGGAUUAAAUUCGUUAAGGAUGUUGACGUAAUGACUUUAAACGA